AGCAGUGGGGAAUCUUGCGCAAUGGGCGAAAGCCUGACGCAGCCAUGCCGCGUGAAUGAUGAAGGUCUUAGGAUUGUAAAAUUCUUUCACCGGGGACGAUAAUGACGGUACCCGGAGAAGAAGCCCCGGCUAACUUCGUGCCAGCAGCCGCGGUAAUACGAAGGGGGCUAGCGUUGCUCGGAAUUACUGGGCGUAAAGGGAGCGUAGGCGGACAUUUAAGUCAGGGGUGAAAUCCCGGGGCUCAACCUCGGAAUUGCCUUUGAUACUGGGUGUCUUGAGUAUGAGAGAGGUGUGUGGAACUCCGAGUGUAGAGGUGAAAUUCGUAGAUAUUCGGAAGAACACCAGUGGCGAAGGCGACACACUGGCUCAUUACUGACGCUGAGGCUCGAAAGCGUGGGGAGCAAACAGGAUUAGAUACCCUGGUAGUCCACGCCGUAAACGAUGAUUGCUAGUUGUCGGGAUGCAUGCAUUUC
rnacentral:rRNA from 1 species